rnacentral:lncRNA from 1 species
GGUGUGACUGAGAGGGAGAAGAAAUUGCUGGGCGUCCAUGGGCAGGGGAGGAUGAGCGGGAAGCAGCAGAGAAGAUGGUGUAGUGCCCAUUGGAUGGAAAAUUGUGGCUGUUUUGAUGGUUAGAGGUUUUAAUAAACGAAGAGACCAGGUGACCUUGCGAACAUACAAGAAGGCAUGCUGUCGUCCAUGAUUAUACAUCAAAAGAGGGCAUCCAAAGCCUCGACACCAUGUGGUUGCUGGGAAUUGAACUCAGGACCUCUGUAGGAGCGACAGGGUCUCUCAUUGUAGCCCUGGAUGUCCUGGAACUCAGGGUGGCCUUGAACUUACAGAGAUCCAACUGCAUUUUGAGUGCUGAGAUUAAAGGUAUUUGAGCAUCUAUUUCCUAGUUGAAAACCCAGUAGCCUCCUCACCAGCUUCAGCAUCCAGAUAUGAUGUGCUUGCAUUCUUCUGGUCUUCUUGUAGCCUGAACUCAUUCCACCUCCCCACAACGCCAACAUUUCACUUCUUUUAUUUGGAGGAGGACGUUUGGAAGUUGUGUUUCUGGAAAUGUUUUGUAUUUAUUUUCCCAGUAAACUUAAGAAAACUUAAAAGUAAUUAAAUGUUUUUUUCCUUUUGAAAAGACAGAAUCUUAAAACACUUGGAGUAUGUCUUCUUUCAAAUGUACAUGUCAAUGGUGCCUAAUAUUUUUUGUUUCCUUACAUUUUUGUUUUGUUUUGUUUGGUUUGGUUUGGUUUGGUUUGGUUUCCCAAGACAGGGUUUCUCUGUGUAGCCCUGGCUGUCCUGGAACUCACUUGGUAGACCAGGCUGUCCUCAACCUCAGAAAUCUGCCUGCCUCUGCCUCCCGAGUGCUGGGAUUAAAGGCAUGCGCCACCAAUGCCCAGCUGUUUCCUUACAUUUUUAAAGUUACAAAUUAGCUCUGUUAUUAUAUUAUACACUCAAUACUGCUGAGAUUUGAAAAAAAAUCAAGCAUACUUUUCUUGUAGUCAGAUAUUCACUCUUGGACUGUUUCUAUGCCAAAUAUAAACUACAUCUUCUGGUUAUAAAUAAGUUUUGAUUAAAAAAACAAUAACAAACAA